rnacentral:rRNA from 1 species
UUAAGCGACUAAGCGUACACGGUGGAUGCCCUGGCAGUCAGAGGCGAUGAAGGACGUGCUAAUCUGCGAAAAGCGUCGGUAAGGUGAUAUGAACCGUUACAGCCGGCGAUGUCCGAAUGGGGAAACCCAGUGUGAUUCGUCACACUAUCGUUAACUGAAUACAUAGGUUAACGAGGCGAACCGGGGGAACUGAAACAUCUAAGUACCCCGAGGAAAAGAAAUCAACCGAGAUUCCCCCAGUAGCGGCGAGCGAACGGGGAGCAGCCCAGAGUCUGAAUCAGCUUGUGUGUUAGUGGAACGGUCUGGAAAGUCCGACGGUACAGGGUGAUAGUCCCGUACACCAAAAUGCACAGGCUGUGAACUCGAAGAGUAGGGCGGGACACGUGGUAUCCUGUCUGAAUAUGGGGGGACCAUCCUCCAAGGCUAAAUACUCCUGACUGACCGAUAGUGAACCAGUACCGUGAGGGAAAGGCGAAAGAACCCCGGCGAGGGGAGUGAAAAAGAACCUGAAACCGUGUACGUACAAGCAGUGGGAGCACCUUCGGGUGUGACUGCGUACCUUUUGUAUAAUGGGUCAGCGACUUAUAUUCUGUAGCAAGGUUAACCGUAUAGGGGAGCCGCAGGGAAACCGAGUCUUAACUGGGCGUUAAGUUGCAGGGUAUAGACCCGAAACCCGGUGAUCUCAGCCAUGGGCAGGUUGAAGGUUGGGUAACACUAACUGGAGGACCGAACCGACUAAUGUUGAAAAAAUUAGCGGAUGACUUGUGGCUGGGGGUGAAAGGCCAAUCAAACCGGGAGAUAGCUGGUUCUCCCCGAAAGCUAUUUAGGUAGCGCCUCGUGAAUUCAUCUUCGGGGGGUAGAGCACUGUUUCGGCUAGGGGGGUCAUCCCGACUUACCAACCCGAUGCAAACUACGAAUACCGAAGAAUGUUAUCACGGGAGACACACGGCGGGUGCUAACGUCCGUCGUGAAGAGGGAAACAACCCAGACCGCCAGCUAAGGUCCCAAAGUCAUGGUUAAGUGGGAAACGAUGUGGGAAGGCACAGACAGCCAGGAUGUUGGCUUAGAAGCAGCCAUCAUUUAAAGAAAGCGUAAUAGCUCACUGGUCGAGUCGGCCUGCGCGGAAGAUGUAACGGGGCUAAACCAUGCACCGAAGCUGCGGCAGCGACACUAUGUGUUGUUGGGUAGGGGAGCGUUCUGUAAGCCUGCGAAGGUGACCUGUGAGGGUUGCUGGAGGUAUCAGAAGUGCGAAUGCUGACAUAAGUAACGAUAAAGCGGGUGAAAAGCCCGCUCGCCGGAAGACCAAGGGUUCCUGUCCAACGUUAAUCGGGGCAGGGUGAGUCGACCCCUAAGGCGAGGCCGAAAGGCGUAGUCGAUGGGAAACAGGUUAAUAUUCCUGUACUUGGUGUUACUGCGAAGGGGGGACGGAGAAGGCUAUGUUAGCCGGGCGACGGUUGUCCCGGUUUAAGCAUGUAGGCUGGUUAUCCAGGCAAAUCCGGAUAAUCAAGGCUGAGGUGUGAUGACGAGGCACUACGGUGCUGAAGUAACAAAUGCCCUGCUUCCAGGAAAAGCCUCUAAGCAUCAGGUAACAUUAAAUCGUACCCCAAACCGACACAGGUGGUCAGGUAGAGAAUACCAAGGCGCUUGAGAGAACUCGGGUGAAGGAACUAGGCAAAAUGGUGCCGUAACUUCGGGAGAAGGCACGCUGGUGUGUAGGUGAAGUCCCUGCGGAUGGAGCUGAGACCAGUCGAAGAUACCAGCUGGCUGCAACUGUUUAUUAAAAACACAGCACUGUGCAAACACGAAAGUGGACGUAUACGGUGUGACGCCUGCCCGGUGCCGGAAGGUUAAUUGAUGGGGUUAUCCGUAAGGAGAAGCUCUUGAUCGAAGCCCCGGUAAACGGCGGCCGUAACUAUAACGGUCCUAAGGUAGCGAAAUUCCUUGUCGGGUAAGUUCCGACCUGCACGAAUGGCGUAAUGAUGGCCAGGCUGUCUCCACCCGAGACUCAGUGAAAUUGAACUCGCUGUGAAGAUGCAGUGUACCCGCGGCAAGACGGAAAGACCCCGUGAACCUUUACUAUAGCUUGACACUGAACAUUGAGCCUUGAUGUGUAGGAUAGGUGGGAGGCUUUGAAGCGUGGACGCCAGUCUGCGUGGAGCCGACCUUGAAAUACCACCCUUUAAUGUUUGAUGUUCUAACGUUGGCCCCUGACCGGGGUUGCGGACAGUGUCUGGUGGGUAGUUUGACUGGGGCGGUCUCCUCCCAAAGCGUAACGGAGGAGCACGAAGGUUAGCUAAUCCUGGUCGGACAUCAGGAGGUUAGUGCAAUGGCAUAAGCUAGCUUGACUGCGAGCGUGACGGCGCGAGCAGGUGCGAAAGCAGGUCAUAGUGAUCCGGUGGUUCUGAAUGGAAGGGCCAUCGCUCAACGGAUAAAAAGGUACUCCGGGGAUAACAGGCUGAUACCGCCCAAGAGUUCAUAUCGACGGCGGUGUUUGGCACCUCGAUGUCGGCUCAUCACAUCCUGGGGCUGAAGUAGGUCCCAAGGGUAUGGCUGUUCGCCAUUUAAAGUGGUACGCGAGCUGGGUUUAGAACGUCGUGAGACAGUUCGGUCCCUAUCUGCCGUGGGCGCUGGAGAAUUGAGGGGGGCUGCUCCUAGUACGAGAGGACCGGAGUGGACGCAUCACUGGUGUUCGGGUUGUCAUGCCAAUGGCACUGCCCGGUAGCUAAAUGCGGAAGAGAUAAGUGCUGAAAGCAUCUAAGCACGAAACUUGCCCCGAGAUGAGUUCUCCCUGAGACUUUAAGUCUCCUGAAGGAACGUUGAAGACGACGACGUUGAUAGGCCGGGUGUGUAAGCGCAGCGAUGCGUUGAGCUAACCGGUACUAAUGAACCGUGAGGCUUAACCU